CCCUCCCCCCCCGGCCCCCUGCCCGCCCUGAUUAGGUUUCUCCCAUAAAGCGGCCAGUGUUUCUGCUCAGCAAGCCGUGCCAACAAUGGCGUCUGGGAAGGAUGGAGGGCUGGCAUCCGGGGCUCCCUGCGCACAGCCCAUAAAGUUAACGAGACGCAAGCCCCGGUCAGGCUGAGGCUCAGAUGUGGCUGGCCAGGGGACCCCGAAGUGGGCCACGCCCAUGGGGCCAUUCCAGGCUGUGGCAGUUUAAGGGGCCCCACACUACGUCUUCGUGUAAGAUUAAGAAAAAUAACAUCCAAAGCAAAAAGGACCAUCCUGUAAUAAUAUCAAGCUUACACAGAGAUGGCUCAGGCUCGUUCUUGGGCCCAGGUGGAGUGUGGCUGGGGGGCACUGGCCAGGCCAGGAGCAGGCACCCAGAGGCCUUGAGGCCCCCAGAAGCGCAUCCUGGGGAUACAGGGGCAAAUGAGAGCCAGGAUCUGGCAUCACAGACCCUGGAUGGGACCCAUGGCCGGCCAGCCUUCCGGGGCUGCUGGGACCCAGGUCCCCUCCCCGGAGUUGCUGAGCCUGGCACAGGGCAGGGAAUGCCACUUGUGAGUCUGUCCCCACCAGGCUCUCUCUUUUCCUGUCUCUGGGGCCCCCAGGCGUGGGAGAGGGUGGGCCGGGCAUAAGCAGCGGCCACAAUAGCCCGAGCGAAUCUGACAGCUGUGAGCUGAGGAGAAGCCUGGAUGACAGGUUUUGGGGCACAGUUCCGACCCUUGCAAGCAACCAGCUGCUGGCAGGCUGGUGGCCCUCUGGGCCUCGGUGGUGUCCUCUGUAAACCGGUAAGGAUGCCAGCUCCAAGGGCUGUUCAUGGCAGCAAGGAAGUCAGGAAUCAUAUCCCGGGGUCAGGUCCCAGGAUUCACUCGGUGCCCAGAGGGGAAGGUGGAAUCGCAUAGCCUCUCUGUCCCCAACGCGCUUAACCACCAGGCAAUCACGGUAGCCUCCAAGGCUCAAUUUAUCUCCAACGAUUCUCAUCUCCAUCUCUCCAUCCUUGAGGCUGGGGCCUGGCCCUUCUUUGGGGGUGUUUCCUGCCUGUGGAAGCCUGGGCUCCUGUGUUUCCUCCCAGGAGGCUCCAGGCCUGGUGUGACAUGUGUGACAGUCCUGGCCUUGGCAGGUGGGCAGUGGGUGGCAUCCGACCAUCCCGUCCUUGGUGGGGUCUUUAGGAGGGACCAGGAGCAAAAAAGUCACCUCCAGGUGGCAGAAGGCUCUGUCUGGGAACCACAGCGGGCAUCUUUGAAGGGCCUGAGCCACUCAGCGGUCUGAGGCAGGGCCCUGAUGUACACCAGUGACCUCCUCCACAGCAAAGACCUGACCCAUGCCACAGCCACCGGCCACAUCUCGUCACUCCUGGAGAGACACCUUUACCAGAUGCUCCCACACCGUCCUUCACGUAGAUGCUCCCCCUGACCUCUGAGAGGCUUUAGUGUCUGCUUGGCGGGGAAGCCUCAGUGGUGGCAAGGGGCUGGGUGGGACUGGGUGAGGGGCCAGGUCUCCCGGGCUGCCUUGCCAAGUGGCUGUGCCAAGCCCAGGGCAGCCAUGGCCAAGACCAGGCAAGGCGGGGGCUGGUGCUGGGCUCCGUCCAGGCUGCCCAGGGCAAGCAGUGGGCAGGGGUCUCCCUCCUCCUUCCCCUAAGGCCACUGCCCACUUCAGUUACAAAAUGGCGGAGGGCUGCAGCAGCCAUUUUGUGGAGCUUGGGAAGACAAAGGCGGCCGAAGCCAGAGGGCGGGGAACAGUGGACAGCGGGCAGAGAGAAGGAGGAGGAGGGACAUCCGCUCCAGAAACUGGGCACUGCACUGUACUGAGGCCUGGGAUGGCCUGGCCAGGGAGCAGGGCAGGCAGGCCUUCUAGAACCUACCUCCUGCCCAAGAGCACUGAAGCUCUCCACCGUGGACUGCCCAGCCUGGAUUAAAAGUUCUUCACCUUGGCCUUAGGGAAGGUGGGCUCUCUUUCCCUAGGUUGGUGGCCUUCAGCCUGGUGGCCCAAGGGCUGGCCUAUACUCCAGGGACUGAUGCUGCCCACCGGCCCAAGGACAGCCAACAGGACUUGUCAUACCAGAGACUAGUGCAGCUGCUGGGUGACCAUCAAGGGGAUGCUAGGAGGACCUCUCUCCACCUUCUGGCUUCAGCCAUGGUGUGGCACUGGGAGCCUGCCUAUGUGUGUCAAGCCACUCUGUCCCGGCCACUUCCCAAAUAUGUGACCCCCACAGACCCGCAUCUCCUUCCCUGACCCUUGGUCAUGAGACUACAGCUCCCAACUAAGACUGCUGCUGUCACAUCCUGUCCAGAGCAGAGAGUGGGCACUCAGUGAACCCACAGAACCCAUAAAGGAUGACCCUAGGUGGCUGCAGGGAUGUCUUCCUCCCCUGCUCUGCCCUGGAUGUAGCAGAGACAGACAAGACAGCUCUAGGCCCCCUCCUGGCCCAUGCAGUGGAGGAAAAAUCCCACUCUGCAGACAGGUAAACUGAGCCCUGUGGGGUGGUAUGGCCAGCAGUUGAGCCCUGCAGGGCAGUUUCAGAGGGGCAGAUGAUCCUCACAGACCCAGAGACUCAGGACCAGCUGAUUCACAGCGGGGGACAGGGUCUGUGUCAGAAAACAAGAGGGUAGACUUGGGGAGAAGCCCAUGGUUUCCUUACAGUGUGGGGUUGCUAUGGCAACAUGGGCAGCAUUGAGGCAGGUGCCACCACCAGCCCGUCACUUGUGCAGCCACAGUUGCCCUGCCAACUCCCAGGAGUGGAGAGUAUGCUGUGGGCCUCCCCUAGGCUCUUCUCCUCAGUGGGGGGCAGGUCCACCUCACAGUCACGGGGUGUUGGGUUCAAAUCACGAUCCCAAUAUGGCUGCCAACAUGUGAGCCAGUGCCGGGGCACACAUGUCCCCCAGGGAAGGCCAGUAUGGAUGCUCAUCACUCCGGUGGCUUCUGCACAGUCACACAGUGGUGUGGGAGGGUCAGUCUUCCCCAGUGUCUGGGGUCAGGGAACAGAGACCCAGAAGCACUGAGCUGACGGAGGUCACACAGCUGCCAGGGGCCUGGAUGCUUCUGCCCAGGGUGACCCCAGGAAGCCCCACACCAAGGAGGCCCCAUCCCACCUCAGGGCCCUCUGGGUCUGGCAGGCACCUGUGUGGUGCGGGGACCCCGACACUGGCUUUUGUCCACAUUUUCCUGGGACAGAAAGACCAAGCACACAGUAUUUUUAAAGGCAAAUAGGGCAAACUGACUGUCUGGUAUUAGAGCAGACCUGUCCCUCCCAGCCUGCCCGGAGGCCCCUUGGUCAACUGCCCUCGAUCCUUCACCCACAGAUGAGAUCGGUAGCUCACCUGCCGUCUGGGGUCCCCCUGAGACCCUGCCCAGGCUGAGGGUGUGGUGGGGUUCCAGCCCCUGCCCUCAUUCUAGCCUUGACUUCCUGCCCACCCCCCCACCUCUGUCUCCCCAGCUCCUGACACAUGGGUGGCAGUGAUGGCUGGGGACCCCAGGGACAGGUGACUCCCCUCAGGCCAGCAUGGUGGCUGCGGCUCAGUGUGGGUUGUGUGCCUACCACAGGCACCAAGUUUGGAUAGGCGCUGCCAGCCAGGGAGCGAGUGACAACAGCCGGAAGUGGGUAGGGGACAGGGCCAGCAGGGCUGCCAUGGUGCCCCCCCCCAUCCUGGGUCCAUCUGAGCAGACUUCAAGGACAGCAAGUUCAAGUCAAUUAAAAACCAUGCCCCGCACACCUGUGAGCCCAGCUCCUUGGGAGGCUGAGGCAGGAUGAUUGCAAAUUCAAGGCCAUCCUGUGCUACUUAGCCAGAUCUUAUCUCAAAAUAAAAAUUUUUUAAAGGGCUGGGGCCAUGGCUUAGUGGUAGAGUGUUUGCCUAGCAUGCACGAGCCCCUGGGGUUCAAUCCUUAGUACUGGAAAACACAACCAAAGCAGCCGGUCACGUGUGUCACAGCCCUCUGGGACCCUGUCCUGGUCCAGGAACUAUGCCCUUGUGGCUCCCUGCAUGCGAGAGCUUGGUGGUCAGAGACCUGGGGUGCACUUGUGCCUGAGUCCACAUGAAGGGCCCACCUGGGUCAUGGUUUUACCUGCCAUUGUGCCCACAGGACACCGGGGACCAUGGGAGCAUGCCUGGGUCCGUGUGAGGCUGGGGGUCUAGGGCAGACCCUGCUGGGGAGGGUGCCCAGCACAGCCCAGGCCCCAGACCCCUCAGGACACUGGGCUGCUGCACUGAGUCCUAGGCGGCACCACAGAGAAGGCAAACUGGCCGGGCCACUGUCCCAGACCUGCUGAUGGCCAAGCUGGAAAGGGUUCUAGGCCUUUUCCCCGGCAGAGCCCUGGGCCGGCCCUGACUUCUCAGAAACCCUGGUCCCGCUGCUGCAGAGAGGCACCAGGGGUGGCGGUCGGCACCCAGCCCAGCCAGGAUGGGGCACAUGGGAGUCCCCAGGCCCACGGGACACAUGGACAUCACCCUCAGGGGCCUGGUUCAGGCAGUGGCCAGGACGGGCUGACAGCUCCCAUUUCCAGCUGUACCACGGGCACUGUACCGACCUGGGCUUCAGUGUCCCUGUCCCUGGGGAAGUGGCCAGCAGCCGGCAAGACCUGGAACGAAGAGAGUACAGUCAGGCUUGGGUGCGGCCUGGUGUGAGCGUGCCCCGCCCUCAUUCACCCGCUGACUCUGGCUACCUGGUCCUGAGAGCCCUGAGGCUUGGGCCCCAUGCCUGAGCCACCUGGAAACUCUUGCCCAGGUGGCUCAAGGGCCAGGAAGCCACCUUGUCUGAGGGACAUUGUGUCCAGACCCUGUGCCUCAGACAUGUUGGUUCCCUGGGCCAGGCCCUAAGGGGUGCUAGGUGGUAGCAGUGUUUUGACCCGGUGAUUGUAAGUGACAGGCUUUGCCUGGUGUGGCCUGUUCAGGGUUGGGCUUUCAGGACAUGAAAGGAGCUCCCCCUCUCCCUCCCUGUCUUCCCUGACUAGGGGUUGGGGACAUCUGGCACUCAGUAUGGGUCCAUCUUCUUUCACUAUCAUUGCUGGGGUCACUUCUCCCCUAAUGUCACUUACUACUGUGACACCUUUCCCUUUUUGCUUUGGCAGCCAGGAAGCUCAGAGCUGAGCUUACAGGUCUCCACCAGCAAUGGGGUCACUUCUUGGUGGCAUGCUUCUAGGCCUACCUUCAAUUUUCCCUUUGCUUAUUUUUAUCUUUCCAGGUGGCCUGUAUUCUCUCUGUGGCUCCCUCCCUGCCGUAUGACCAGGCUUUGCCUUAGCAUAGGUCUGCAGCCAGAUCUACCAUGACCCCCCCCUGGACCUCAGCAGUGAAGACAUGGUUUCGGACUCCAGACUGGGGCUUUCUAGCUGUGCCAGGAGGAAAGGAGGCCGGAUUCUCCCUAAAGCAGCGUCACCGUGGUGGUCAUCGGCCACGCCGACAUGGUGGAGCUGGCCACAUGGAGCCUGGUCCCCCUGCUCCACUUCAAUGGCAAACAUGCCCAACAGUGCCACCCUGGCCCACAGCCCUGGGACCUCGACACAUGGGCCACAUGGAGCGUCUCUCUUCCGGGGAUGACGAAUAACAAUAAUCCGGCUCCGUUUCACCCUGGCCAGGUGCUCAGUUUCAUACAAACUCUCCCUCCAUUGCAAAAGAAGUACAUUUUAAGCCAGGUUCUGGAUUUUGGAGACACUGGGAUUUUUUCGUUUGUUCGUUUUCCUGGUACUGGAGAUUGAACUCAGGGCCUUCCCACUGAGCUAUAUCCCCGGCACACUUUUUGUUUUGAAAAGAGGUCUCAUUAGGUCACUAUGUUGCCCAGGCUGGAUGAAAACUUUUGAUCCUCCUGCCUCGGCCUCCCAGAGUGCUGGGAUUACAGGCCUGUACCACCACGCCUGGCUCUAUUGAGCGAAGUUCUGGACAGAGAAGCCGAGAACACAGAAGCAACCUCGGUCCUCCGCCCAGCCCUGCAGAUGGUGCAUCUAUCCAGAUGUGGGUCAUGGAUGUGUGGGUCCCACAUGUUGGGACCAUGGGUGCCAUGUGGAAGGGCCACAGGGUGCCCACUGGGUCACCUUAUCACAAACAUCCCAGCCUGGGUGAGUGUGGCUGUCCAGAGUAUCACACCCGUCAGCAGCAGUACACGGACUCCUCCAUCUCCACGUGUGACUGUCCUAGCCCCAGGGACCCUGCAAGUUGGGCCCUGGUCAAAGCCCAGGGAUGCCAUCAGGCCCUAACCUUCCACAGAUCCACCUAUGUCAGAGGUGGGUGGGGAAACCGAGGGAAUGGGCAGGGGCAAAGGCCCAGGGUGCACGCAGGACAGCAGCAGGUCUGGCACAGGCCCUUCGAGGGGCUGAACACCCGGACUCAGCUUCCUUCCCUGCAGGACGGGGCUGGCAGCAGGCCGGGGUUCUGUGAGGUCACCCCAGAUAGCAGAUGUCAGCCUGCCACAUAGAGCAGCUCUGUCCCUCCGCCACGCCUCCUGCCCAGUGCCCACUCAGGGCUCAGCCCCAGGAGACAAAGUGGGGCUUGGGUGCCGCUGUGCCCACCCUGUGGGUCCCCAGGGCACAGGGCACAGGCAGGAGGGGGUGGUAGAGACGCCGAGGAUCUGGGCUGCCUCCCAUAAAUCACCCUGCCACGCUUCCUAAUUAUCUGGGCACUUAAGCUCCUCUGUCUUGUCUUCCCCUUUCCCUGGGGAAAUUUCUUCAUUUCCUACAUUAUCCCAGCCUCCCGGACGUCUAAAUCAAGCCCGGGCCUGGCUGCAGCCCACCGUGCAGACUCCCUCGGCCUACUUUUACUGGGCUUGCGUGUGUGUGAACAUGUGUGUGCAUGUGUGUGUGCAGAGUGGUGGCUGCCAGGUGCAACCAACCCGACCCAAAUUUCAUCCCUGCCCAGGGCAGAAAACCAGAAAUGCUGCCACACCCUUCUUUCGAGGGGCUGUGACAACAUGCCCAGGACCCACGGGCCUCUUCCCUGGCCCAGGAUGACACAGCAGCCUCCAUCUUCACCCUGCUCUUCCACAAGCUGGGUGGCAGGGUCACUGUCCCCACCCAAGGACGAGGACACUGCAGCCAGAGGAGGAAACAGUCCUGCCCAAGUGGUCAGGCCAAUUUGCCCUGCUGCUGAUUGGGCUGCAGCCCAAGGAACCGCUCCUGUAUCCCCAGCACCCAGGACCUUUCUCCACAGGCCGGCAGGGGCCAAGAGGAUUGUGGGAGGAGCCAGAGCAGCCAUCAGGCCAGCAAAGCGUCCCUGAGGGCCGGUGCCAAUGCCCCUCUCCUGUGGAGCCACAGGAGGCAGGUGUUGGGCCACUGCCACUAGAGCUGGGCCGGCCCUGGCAGCUCUUCCAAGCUGACUCUGGUGCCUUCCCCGGGGCUGAGCCGGCUGCAAUUUUCAAAAGCUGGAGCUCAUUCUCUGCCCUCAUUUCUGACCUCUCGCCUCUCAGGCACUGUCCAAGCCUUGCUCACUGCAUUCAUGGCCAGGUCACCAGGUGCCCAGGGCGUAGCAGGCACAGCUGCCCGCAGAGCCAGGCCUUCCAUGCUGAGCGUCCCUGGGCUCCUGCUGGCACUUGGCCUCUCCAUCUCUGGUCAAGUUCCGUGAGUCCUACCCUUAAAAAAACCUUCUGUGAAGUCAAACAAACAAAUUCUCAGUCCUAGGACCAGAGGGCUGGCAGCGGGGCGGCUCUGGGCUCUCCUCUUGCUUCCUGUUUUGACACUGAAAGGAACUGAAGAAACCAUCCAACCCCUCUCAGUUACAGAUGGGUAAACUGAGGCAUAGAGAAAGGAAGCGGUGCUAGGAUGGGAGCCAGGGACCCUAACUUGGGCCCAGGGCUCAGCCUAGGAUCUGGGACCACGGCAGCUGCUGGCCAGAGCCUGCCAAAUCAGAGCAGCCCCACUGUGGGGAGGAUCCUGGGCACUGGGAUGAGGGAGGCCAGGGCCGGACCCCCAGGUUCCCUGGCACAGGCCGCCUUGGGCUCCAUAGAUGCAGACAGGGCCCCUUGGGAGGCCCUGGGCUCCAGGGGCAGGGCUCCAGGAAAGCAGGCGCUUUAAUGGAAACCAGUCAGUGGGCCAGCCGCCCCCCCCGUUUCCAUGGGGAUGGGUGGGAGGUGGAGCUCUGCCGUGGCUGCCAUGGCAGAUGUGGCCUGUUCAGGGUGGACUGGCGGGGGGCCUGGGAUGUGGCAGGCCUGGACCCCGCUGGGGUCAUCUGGGCCUCUGCUUGCCCCUCUUGGGAACCAGGAUUGCUGGUGACUCUUGGGGAGGCCGCUGUGCCCGUGGGAGUGGGGUACCGGCCGGUCCCUCUGCAUGGUCUGCUGGACUGGGGCUCUGGAUAAUGUAGCCAGGCCUCCUCUCCAGGCUAUGCCAGGCUGGUCACCCCACAGUCAGGGCCUGAAGGUGGAAAGUGCUCCGGGCUGCCUUGAUCCACAAGGACCCUGGGCUUGGGCCCUGGUGCCAGGUGUGGGCUGUGUGGACAUGGGAGGGAGCUCUCCCCAUGGGCUUACUUGCUCCUGUCCUAACUCAAAGGCACUGGACCCCCGGGGCCCUAUCCCGGCCCAGCCCCGGCAUCUGGGCCACAAGACUCAGAGGACAAGGGCGACCCCGUAGCUCAGCUGAUGCACCAGGCCACGAGGCCAGGCAGGCCACAAGCAGCAGGCUGUCUGGGCACCAGACAGCCCAAACCAGUGGGCUUCAGAGGACAGGUGACAGUGGCCCACCCAGGGGCAGUCCUUGAUGCCCCCAGAGCCAGCAUGAGGUGACACAGGCCCUGGGACAACUCCUCAUGCUUGGUGUCUGGGAUGAGCUGACCAAGGUCAGCGUCCGAGAGAGGCUGAAGAUAAAUGGUCCCACAGGAAAAAGAUCUGGGUUAGGGCACAGACUCUGCUAGCCCUUUACUGUGUGACGGGAGCAGUUUCUUGGCCUCUCUGAGCUGCAGUUACUUGUGUAGAAAACUCAACAUCUGCCCCCGCUAGACUGGACCAGGUUUGCCCUGUUUACUCCACAGAAUAGCCUCCAAUUCACAGUGAUCCUCCUGCCUCAGCCUCCUGCGUGCUGAUAUCAAAGCAUGCACAGGCCCUGCUGAUUUUCUUUUUUUUAAGGCUAUAAAAGACGUAGCCAGGCCUGACGCUAGUAGGUACUCAACAAGACCUCCCCCACUCGCCCUGAGGAGCUGAGCCCUCUUGGGGACAUCCGACACAUACUGGCACUCCUUCAGGGAGCCACAUGGCCAGGGCUUUCCCCACUGGGCCCCUCCAUGUUCCCCUGGGCCUGCCAGCGGGGCUCGGCCCUGCCCUGGCAGCUGGACACUGACCAUGGGGGCUAUGGCCACCCUACCAUGGCACCUGGCUGAGGCGGCAGUGUCCUGGUCAGUCCCUGGAGCGUCCACCUGCAGGCCGGUCCCUCAGCCAGAUGGCACAAGGGUCAGCUGAGCACGCCUCCAUCUCACGGAUCCCAGGAUGGAGGCCCGAGAUGCAAGUGGCCACUGCCCCAGAGGGGUUGGCACCAGUAAUCUCACUUCUGUGCCAGACAGGGCACCCAUGCUGUGCCACUGGGGCCUCCUUUGUGGCCACCCAAGGUCACAUGUGCCACGCCACGAGGGGACGGUGGGGCCCUUGUGGACCCCUCAUCCCCCCGAGUUGAGCAUGGCCACAUACCAGGGAGCCCUGGCAGGAUGGGAACAGGGAUCCCAGGUUCCUUCCACCCACACUGUGCCGGAAGCUGGGCACACCCACUGCAGGAAUCCUGGGCUGGGCCCGGCGCCUAGGAAACUGGGCCAGAGGUUCCUGCACAUGCUGGCGUGGCCAGCUGCCUCCAAGGUACCUCACCCCACUGCUCCUCCUGGGUGUGUCUAGGGCCCAGAGAGUCCCAGGACCCAGCACCCGGCACCCGCGGAAGAAGGUCCACUCACAACUGCGGCCCAUCCAGGUGCCCUCCCUGCAUGUGGCCAGAUGCAGGGUGACACUGUUACACUGAAUUCCACAGCGGAGAACAGCAAGGUAGAAGUGCCAGGCAACUCUCAGGGAGCCCAGGGCCCCACUUGUUCUUCCUGGAACACCACCUCAGCAGUCACUAUCUGGCCAGCACUUAGACUCCUGUGAUGCGGGCACGCAGAGGACUCGUGGCGGCAUCGAGGGUGUCCGGGUGCUCUGGAUGUGCACCGCUGUCACCCCAGCCCCUGCCCUUCCGUGUCUGCUGGGUACACACCGGUCCUCAGGCGACACGGGGCUUCCGGCCAACCCCCACCCCCAGCCCGCCUUCCUGGAUCCUGCUCCGGGCCAAGCUGGCGCCAUUUCCUGCGUGGCCAGCUGGGAGGCUCACUGCCACUGUCCCAGUGUGCAAAUGGCGGCAGGAGGCGACAGUGGUGGCCGGGCUGGGGCCUUCCAGGGACAUACAGAGCAGCUCCAAGUAGCCCGGCAGCUGGGUGGCUUGUUGGAGGUGGGGGUGGGGUGACCCAUGAUUGCCCCCUGGGCCGUGUCCAUGGCCACUUGGAAGAGACCUGUCUGCCUCUGUGGCAAAGGCCACCAGCCGGGGCUACGGCCACAAUGGUGAACAUACGCCGUGUGCACGUGCGGUACCUGCACACAACUCCGUGCACGUCUGGCUGGCCACCUGCACAGUCGGUGACACUCUGAUGAACACCACAGCAGAACACGUGCCAAACUCCAGGGCAGGCACGGCAGGGCCCAGAUCCCAUCUGCUGGUUGAACCUCUGGGAAGCUACACAGCGUCUGUCUCAGGGGUCACUGCCCCAACAUGUGGCAGGGAGGAGACAGACCUGCUCUUGCAGGCACUUUCUGAGACUUGAACAAGUACCAGCAGUAGAGGCCGUUCUCGAGGACAAGCUUUCCAGACAUUCAGGUGGAUGACACUCACUAUGCCCAUUUUACAGACAAGCAAACUGAGGCUCUGAGAGGUACAAGACUCACCACGAACCCAGGCCUCAGCUCUUGAUUCUAGAGCACUUGUUUUUCCAAACAUGAAGGGCAUCCUGCCACACAACAGCCCCAAGGGAGAAAGUAGAAGCCCGGUUCUUUACCACUGUCAAGGCCAUCACCGCCAGCAUGCUCACUCUGGUGCCAGGACCUUCUCAUUCUGCUCAUCUUUAGAGCACUGAGCCAGUGGCUUACUCCUCUGACUCUAUGACAGCAGGUGACAGACUACAGACGAGCUGGAAAGGACAAAGUGCUUAAAAAUCUGAGAGCACACUCUCGUAAUCCCAGAACUCAGGAGGCUGAGGCAGGAGGAUUGCUGGGAGUUUGAGGCCAGUCUGGGCUAUAUAGUGAGUUUAAAGCCAGCCUGAACUACAAAGCAAGAGCCUGCCUCAGAACAAAAAACAAAACAAACAAACAAAAAAACUGCUCUGCCCUGGAAUGUGUUGAUAUAGACCAAUAAAUUCUCUACUUUGUGAGAAUUUAUCUUGGUGAGAUAAUUUUUAAGUUUAUAGCAACUCUAUGUAGUUUACCUGCAGAACUUUUUUUAAAAGUUUGGAUGUAAACAGAUCUUUAGACCAUCCAAAAUAUCAUCUAAUUUUCCACAAAGAUCUCAAAAUAAUUCCACCCAAGUUAACACAGAACAGCUAGCGAGUGAACCUCUUCCCUACAGAGAUUAAGAUAUUAAAUUUAGAAGUCUCACACCCCACGACGAGUCUGAAUUUGAGUCUAGUACUACACUGUUCAGACAGAAAAACAAGAUACAAACUGGCCAUACUUAAAACAUUUAAUGUCCUUCAACACAGGGCAAGGAGAGCUUUAAAAAAUGAAGACCAAAAAUUAAAUGAAACUUUAACGAAGGUGAUGGUGGUCACUCUACCAAAUUUUCCAGCGGGUGAGAAGAUCAUUGAAUAAGUCUGUUUCUACACACGAAUGCAACUUGUUUAUUCUGACCUCAGUUCUUCGAAAUUGUCGACUCCACAAUGGAAAUACGCUGUGUGUUCCAACAAGUGCCAGGCAGGCGUGAUGACGGACCAGCCCAUCUGUGCCGCGAGAAUGUAUAAUUUCAGUCUAUAGUGGAAUUUAUAUAGAGGCAACCAUGUGGAGAGUGCUUUGCGUGGUACUUUCUCAAAAAAAAAAAAAAAAAAGAAAAAGAAAAAAGAAAAGAAAGGGGUGGGGUCCCCUGGGGUGCAGCUCAGUGGUAGAGCACUUGCCUAGCAUGCCCAGUCCCCCCCCCAAAAUACUGCCAAGAAGUCCUGGGUGCCUGGGAGCAUGCUGAGACGGUGGCUGUUAAGUUUUUAAGAAACAGAAUCCACUGCGUUGUACUGAGGAUUUUUCUUUUUUCUUUUUUUUUUUUUUUUUUGAGGGAGGUCAAUUGGUAACCAAGUCAAAAACUUCAGAUGAUGAAUACAAUCUCCACAAAGUACAGAAGGUACACACAUGAAACAGAAAGCCACAAGGUGAACUUCCAGAGUGGAGAAUACAAAUUCAGAAUAAAAAUCCUCAUUUACGGAAAUUAACUGUUUUUCUGCUACUUCCCCCUAUCUUGUCCAAAAAGAAGAUAAAUUAUUGCUCAGAGAAUUUCACCAUUUAUCAUUCCAUAGUUUAGGAUUCAACGUCUAUUUACCUACAUUAAUUAUGCCAAAAAAAGAGUGAAGAGUGGGCUGCUAAUUAAUACUGUAAAUUCUUUAAAAAUGCUGAGGCCCCUUUCCUUCCUUCCCAACUCUGUACCUCCUGGACUCUUUUGCCUCUAAAAUGUAUUGCACUGGAUUUUUUUCCUAUUACUUUUAUUUUGCCACCAGUGUUUUAUUCGAUGCUUGCUAAAUAUUUGGGUGGGAUGAAUGCUCCAGCUUGCGGCAGCAGAAUGUGGCUGUCAUAAUCAUGAAAAUGUUUUAAUUAUCUCCGCUAUAUAUGCCUGUCUCUGCAGCCCUGAACCCUCCGUAGCGACUGCUGCCUGAUCUAAGAACAAAAGCAGCCGUGCUACCCCUCAUGUGAGCAGAGCUUCAUGUUCGGAUUCGGAGGUGCCCACGCGCCUCCUCUGGACUCAUCAAACAAAGAUGUAUUUACGUGGGAAUUUUCCUCUUCGUGCCUUUUACAACUUUCUGGGUCUGAUCUUCUAUUUCCCAUAAAUCAAGACCCCAGCUCGCCUUGAAUGUGGGAAACCAGGCCGUG
rnacentral:lncRNA from 1 species